AGAAAUCGUUAAGGGCGUAUGGCGGAUGCCUAGGCUUUCAGAGGCGACGAAGGACGUGGUAAGCUGCGAAAAGCUGCGGGGAUCGGCACACACGAAUUGAUCCGCAGAUGUCCGAAUGGGGCAACCCGGCUGGUUGAAGACCAGUCAUCCCGAUUUAUCGGGAAGCAAACCCGGAGAACUGAAACAUCUAAGUACCCGGAGGAAAAGAAAUCGAAGAGAUUCCGUAAGUAGUGGCGAGCGAAAGCGGAUUAGCCCAAAAGUCUUUAUAUGUUUAAAAGAAUGUUCUGGAAAGAACAGCCAUAGAGGGUGAUAGCCCCGUACUUGAAAGGCAUAUUUAGAUGAUAAAUGAGUAGGGCGGGACACGUGAAAUCCUGUCUGAAUAUGGGGGGACCAUCCUCCAAGGCUAAAUACUCCUGAAAGACCGAUAGUGAACAAGUACUGUGAAGGAAAGGUGAAAAGCACUUCGAAUAGAAGGGUGAAAGAGAACCUGAAACCGUACGCCUACAAGCGGUCGGAGCCCACAAGUUGGGUGACGGCGUGCCUUUUGCAUAAUGAGCCUACGAGUUAAUUUUACUAGCGAGCUUAAGCACUUCAGGUGCGGAGGCGGAGCGAAAGCGAGUCUGAAUAGGGCGCAUAGUUAGUAGGAUUAGACGCGAAACCUUGUGAUCUACCCAUGGGCAGGUUGAAGCUUUGGUAACACAAAGUGGAGGACCGAACCGGUUGACGUUGAAAAGUCUUCGGAUGACUUGUGGGUAGGGGUGAAAGGCCAAUCAAACUCGGAAAUAGCUCGUACUCCCCGAAAUGCAUUUAGGUGCAGCGCUGGGUAUAAGUUAUAUAGAGGUAGAGCUACUGAUUGGAUGCGGGGGCUUCACCGCCUACCAAUUCCUGACAAACUCCGAAUGCUAUAUAAUGUUUACCAGCAGUGAGGGCAUGGGUGCUAAGGUCCAUGUCCGAGAGGGAAAGAACCCAGACCAUCAGCUAAGGUCCCCAAAUGUAUGCUAAGUUGAAAAAACGAGGUUUGUCUGCCCAGACAGCUAGGAUGUUGGCUUGGAAGCAGCCAUUCAUUUAAAGAGUGCGUAACAGCUCACUAGUCGAGCGGUUCGGCAUGGAUAAUAAUCGGGCAUAAGUAUAGUACCGAAGCUAUGGAUUUAUAACUUUUGAGUUAUAUCUGGUAGGGGAGCAUUCUAUUUGCGCCGAAGCAGUAUCGUGAGGUAUUGUGGAGCGGAUAGAAAAGAAAAUGUAGGCAUAAGUAACGAUAAAGCGGGCGAGAAACCCGCUCACCGAAAGACUAAGGUUUCCUCAGCCAUGCUAAUCAGCUGAGGGUUAGUCGGGACCUAACGCGAACCCGAAAGGGGAAGUGGAUGGACAAUGGGUUAAUAUUCCCAUACUUGCUCACACUAAAAAGGGGACGGAUUUACGUACUUGCUGGAGACUGACGGAAUAGUCAAGGCCUAGCCUUCGGGCGAAGCUGCUGCAGGGAAAUAGAUUCCAAGAAAAGCCGAAGUGAAGCAACCCGUACCAAAACCGACACAGGUAGUCGAGGAGAGAAUCCUAAGGUGCUAGAGUGAAUCAUGGUUAAGGAACUAGGCAAAAUAGUCUCGUAACUUCGGAAGAAGAGACGCCAUCAGCAAUGGUGGCCGCAGUGAAGAGGCCCAGGCGACUGUUUAUCAAAAACACAGGACUCUGCUAAAUCGAAAGAUGCUGUAUAGGGUCUGACACCUGCCCGGUGCUGGAAGGUUAAGGAAGGUUGUUAGCGUAAGCGAAGCAAUUAACUGAAGCCCCAGUAAACGGCGGCCGUAACAAUAACGGUCCUAAGGUAGCGAAAUUCCUUGUCGGGUAAGUUCCGACCUGCACGGAAAUGGCGUAA
rnacentral:rRNA from 1 species